AGUGAACGCUGGCGGCAGGCCUAACACAUGCAAGUCGAACGGCAGCACAGUAAGAGCUUGCCCUUACGGGUGGCGAGUGGCGGACGGGUGAGGAAUACAUCGGAACCUACUUUUUCGUGGGGGAUAACGUAGGGAAACUUACGCUAAUACCGCAUACGACCUACGGGUGAAAGCAGGGGAUCUUCGGACCUUGCGCGAUUGAAUGAGCCGAUGACGGAUUAGCUAGUUGGCGGGGUAAAGGCCCACCAAGGCGACGAUCCGUAGCUGGUCUGAGAGGAUGAUCAGUCACACUGGAACUGAGACACGGUCCAGACCCCUACGAGAGGCAGCAGUGGGGAAUCUUGGACAAUAGGCGCAAGCAUGAUCCAGCCAUACCGCGUGAGUGAAGAAGUCCUUCGGGUUGUAAAACCCUUUUGUUGGGAAAAAAAAGCAGCAGGUUAAUUCCCCAAUGUUCUGACGGUACCCAAAGAAUAAGCACCGGCUAACUUCGUG
rnacentral:rRNA from 1 species